AGAUUCCUCAUGCACCUAUAGUUGUAUGGUCUGCAGUGAGGUAGCCGAUGCCAGAGCUGUGUCCUCCCUCCAUAGAAGCCAGGAGAAAGGCCAGACUGAAGUGACCUGCUGAAGCCUUUGUCUUUUGACAUUGAAUUCCGUUUGCCCACUGCCAUCAAGACUGCUUUUAAGGAGCUUCUGCGACAUGAUCUCUUACAGGAACCUGAAGGGCCGAGAAGUCCUGCUGUGUUUGGUGCCAUCAUCUCUUACUUUGAACAGUUUUUUGAAACUGUUGGAAUUUCUCUGGCAAAUCAACAGUUGGCAAACUCUCGUGCGCAGAACCAGAGAUGAGUCCAUCUCAGCAACAGAAUGUCGCCAGCUCUGCACACACGUUUAUGUUCAAAGACUCUCAGAAUGUGCAGAAGUCACAGGCACAUACGUUUCAGGAGACGGCAGCGAGGCUACCUUGCAUGGUGUGGUGGACGAGCUGGUGCGGUUCCGGCAGAAGGUCCGGCAGUUUGCGCUGGCCAUGCCCGAGGCCACGGGGGACGCCCGGCGGCAGCAGCUCCUAGAAAGGCAGCCCCUGCUGGAAGCAUGCGACACCCUGCGCCGGGGCCUGACUGCCCACGGCAUCAACAUCAAGGACAGAAGCAGUACAACAUCCACGU
rnacentral:lncRNA from 1 species